CAUCAACGGAGAGUUUGAUCCUGGCUCAGGACGAACGCUGGCGGCGUGCUUAACACAUGCAAGUCGAACGGUGACCUGGGGAGCUUGCUUCCUGGUGAUCAGUGGCGAACGGGUGAGUAACACGUGAGUAACCUGCCCCUCACUCUGGGAUAACUCCGGGAAACCGGGGCUAAUACCGGAUAUGACACAGACAGGCAUCUGUACUGUGUGGAAAGUUUUUCGGUGGGGGAUGGACUCGCGGCCUAUCAGCUUGUUGGUGAGGUAGUGGCUCACCAAGGCGACGACGGGUAGCCGGCCUGAGAGGGCGACCGGCCACACUGGGACUGAGACACGGCCCAGACUCCUACGGGAGGCAGCAGUGGGGAAUAUUGCACAAUGGGCGAAAGCCUGAUGCAGCGACGCCGCGUGAGGGAUGAAGGCCUUCGGGUUGUAAACCUCUUUCAGUACCGAAGAAGCGCAAGUGACGGUAGGUACAGAAGAAGCACCGGCUAACUACGUGCCAGCAGCCGCGGUAAUACGUAGGGUGCGAGCGUUGUCCGGAAUUAUUGGGCGUAAAGAGCUUGUAGGCGGUUUGUCGCGUCUGCUGUGAAAUUUCGGGGCUUAACCCCGAACUUGCAGUGGGUACGGGCAGACUAGAGUGUGGUAGGGGAGACUGGAAUUCCUGGUGUAGCGGUGAAAUGCGCAGAUAUCAGGAGGAACACCGAUGGCGAAGGCAGGUCUCUGGGCCAUAACUGACGCUGAGAAGCGAAAGCAUGGGGAGCGAACAGGAUUAGAUACCCUGGUAGUCCAUGCCGUAAACGUUGGGAACUAGGUGUGGGUCUCAUUCCACGAGAUCCGUGCCGCAGCUAACGCAUUAAGUUCCCCGCCUGGGGAGUACGGCCGCAAGGCUAAAACUCAAAGGAAUUGACGGGGGCCCGCACAAGCGGCGGAGCAUGCGGAUUAAUUCGAUGCAACGCGAAGAACCUUACCAAGGCUUGACAUGUACCGGAAACGUGCAGAGAUGUGCGCCCCGCAAGGUCGGUACACAGGUGGUGCAUGGUUGUCGUCAGCUCGUGUCGUGAGAUGUUGGGUUAAGUCCCGCAACGAGCGCAACCCUCGUUCUAUGUUGCCAGCACGUGAUGGUGGGGACUCAUAGGAGACUGCCGGGGUCAACUCGGAGGAAGGUGGGGAUGACGUCAAAUCAUCAUGCCCCUUAUGUCUUGGGCUUCACGCAUGCUACAAUGGCCAGUACAAAGGGCUGCGAAACCGCGAGGUGGAGCGAAUCCCAAAAAACUGGUCUCAGUUCGGAUUGGGGUCUGCAACUCGACCCCAUGAAGUCGGAGUCGCUAGUAAUCGCAGAUCAGCAACGCUGCGGUGAAUACGUUCCCGGGCCUUGUACACACCGCCCGUCAAGUCACGAAAGUCGGUAACACCCGAAGCCGGUGGCCCAACCCCUUGUGGGAGGGAGCUGUCGAAGGUGGGACUGGCGAUUGGGACUAAGUCGUAACAAGGUAGCCGUACCGGAAGGUGCGGCUGGAUCACCUCCUUUCU
rnacentral:rRNA from 1 species